AUGUGCUCUCAGAUUUUCUCCUCUUACGUCACACACAAAGUUCUUAGAUUCGUCUCAUUCAUCAAACCAUUGACUUCAGAUCCAUUAAACGGUCACGAUUACCUUGAACCCACGCCAACCGCAGAUCUGAAUACUAUUUCCAUUUUCUAUCUUGAUUCUUCACAAUCACGGAACAUUUUUAGCAUACGAAGAAAAUGGGAAUGGAUCCUACUCUUUCAGAUUGGCAAAGGGUAA